AGUCGAGCGAGCGGAACUAAAGAUUUACUUCGGUAAUGACGUUAGGAAAGCGAGCGGCGGAUGGGUGAGUAACACGUGGGGAACCUGCCCCAUAGUCUGGGAUACCACUUGGAAACAGGUGCUAAUACCGGAUAAGAAAGCAGAUCGCAUGAUCAGCUUUUAAAAGGCGGCGUAAGCUGUCGCUAUGGGAUGGCCCCGCGGUGCAUUAGCUAGUUGGUAAGGUAAAGGCUUACCAAGGCGAUGAUGCAUAGCCGAGUUGAGAGACUGAUCGGCCACAUUGGGACUGAGACACGGCCCAAACUCCUACGGGAGGCAGCAGUAGGAAAUCUUCCACAAUGGACGCAAGUCUGAUGGAGCAACGCCGCGUGAGUGAAGAAGGUUUUCGGAUCGUAAAGCUCUGUUGUUGGUGAAGAAGGAUAGAGGUAGUAACUGGCCUUUAUUUGACGGUAAUCAACCAGAAAGUCACGGCUAACUACGUGCCAGCAGCCGCGGUAAUACGUAGGUGGCAAGCGUUGUCCGGAUUUAUUGGGCGUAAAGCGAGCGCAGGCGGAAGAAUAAGUCUGAUGUGAAAGCCCUCGGCUUAACCGAGAAACUGCAUCGGAAACUGUUUUUCUUGAGUGCAGAAGAGGAGAGUGGAACUCCAUGUGUAGCGGUGGAAUGCGUAGAUAUAUGGAAGAACACCAGUGGCGAAGGCGGCUCUCUGGUCUGCAACUGACGCUGAGGCUCGAAAGCAUGGGUAGUGAACAGGAUUAGAUACCCUGGUAGUCCAUGCCGUANACGAUGAGUGCUAAGUGUUGGGAGGUUUCCGCCUCUCAGUGCUGCAGCUAACGCAUUA
rnacentral:rRNA from 1 species